GUCCACGCCCUAAACGAUGUCUACUAGUUGUCGGGUCUUAAUUGACUUGGUAACGCAGCUAACGCGUGAAGUAGACCGCCUGGGGAGUACGGUCGCAAGAUUAAAACUCAAAGGAAUUGACGGGGACCCGCACAAGCGGUGGAUGAUGUGGAUUAAUUCGAUGCAACGCGAAAAACCUUACCUACCCUUGACAUGUACGGAACCCUGCUGAGAGGUGGGGGUGCUCGAAAGAGAGCCGUAACACAGGUGCUGCAUGGCUGUCGU
rnacentral:rRNA from 1 species